AAGACAAAACCAUUCAAGAUGCGGUUUGAUAUGAAUUUUACAAUUGUAGUCUGUGUGACUUUGAUAAUUGUAACGUCUCUUGUUACGGGAUCACCUAUUCAUUUUCACAUUGCAGGACUCCUUGUUUAAUUUUGAAAAUUUUAACUGAAAUAUUUAAUUCCAGUUAAAGUAAAAGAAAGGUGACGGGAAACCAUCCAUAUGAACGCACACAGAAUUCAUCCAUCUUGUAAAAGAAAUUAAUUUGACAUGACUCAAAUAUCAUUGUAAUAAUAACAAAUAAUUGUCUUUAUGAUGCGCUUAUCUUGGUUGUUCGUUACUUCGUUUUAUCUUCAAUGGCAUGUUCAUCAGUUAAUGGCGAGAGAAAAUCAAUAAAAAAAUUACAUUAUCA